rnacentral:rRNA from 1 species
AUUGAACGCUGGCGGAAUGCCUAACACAUGCAAGUCGAACGAGUUGUGUAGCAAUACACAACUAGUGGCGGACGGGUGAGGAACACAUAGGAAUCUACCCUUGUAGUGGGGAAUAACCCGGGGAAACCCGACGUAACUGCCGCAUACGCACUAAGGUGGAAAGCGGGGAGUCGGUAAGACCUCGCGCUAUAGGAUGAGCCUAUGU